GUCAGCCACCCCGGGAUCUGGCAGAGGAGGGCCGGGCCGAGAGCAGCCGAGCGGGGAAGACAGCCAGCCUCUGCCCGCUCGGCCCGCCGCGGUGCAGGGCGCGGAAUGUCUGCAUGCGUAAUGAGGGCCCGGAGCGAGGUGAUUUCCCAGCCCAGCCGGCCCUGCCUAAGCACACACGUUCUCUGUAUUCAAAUAGCACUCUUCCAUGGAAGUCCUUAGUAGCAGAAUGCAGCAGGAAGAACUCCCAGAGCAGCCUUGCUCUAGGCCCUCCUUAGGGAGAAGAGAAAAAUCUGCCUCUGGAAGUGCCUGGAAGCUUCCAUAUUCGAGGGCGCGAGAAAGCAGUGCGCGUCCCCUUGGACUAAGUAGAAAAAAAUCGAUCUUUCCUUUUGGGCCUGGUUUCCCUGUUAUUGAAAGGGCCGCACGGAACAUUGAGAUUGCUAAAUUGUUUUCCAGUCGAUGAUAGUGGAGUCUCAGUUUCAGAGCUAAGUUCCAUACCCACUAGGACAAAGCCCCUUACUAGGCGGGUACCCCCACCGUGAGUCCCUGGAUUCUCCAUAGCAAGAUAAGGACAAAAGCUUGUGCAGGCUGUGCACUUUGUCUCAAGUCACGCGGGGUGGCUCGUGGCAGGGCUACUCAAACUCCAAGAUCCCAUGGUGGAUAAGUCUGACUGGAGAAAGAGCUUUUAGAUCUGUGGACAGAUGGGCUUGCUGAUACUUCGCUCUUGAGUUACAUGGACUUAGUCCUGCUGUGGCACCGAGGAAAGGAUAAAGUCUCCUCAGUGAGCUGCUGCUUACACCUCACCCAGGUCAGACAAGAGCCCAGGAACAGGCAGAGGUAACGGAGAGGGAAGACCAGGGCAGAGCCAACCAGUGGAAGUCCUUCUGCUUCACUUUUCCAUGGCCCUGCCUUGCAGAGGAAAAGUUAAGGUACCAAUCUCCCAACACCCUGCAGCUCUAGGACCACCAGUUCCCAUGGAGAACCUGCCUUUGGGGGACCCCAUGGAACAUCAGCAUCUUCCUCGAGGAGAAGAAUCCGUCUGGUGCAUGGCUCUACUCCCAGUCACGGGCCAUGUGACUUGGCUCUACUGUGCUCUUGGCACACCUUACUGCUGGGAACAGCUCUGGCAAGGUAGGGGUGGGAGGGAUGUUGGGUGCAGUGAAAUCCAGUCAACCUUGACCAACUUGCCCUGACGGUAAGAUCAAAGGGCUGGAGUUAUCGGAGGACUCUCCCACCACGACCAGUAGUGAAUUGAGAAGCUAAAAUAAACUUUUCUCCAUUAUGACUGAUAAUUUUUUUUUUAACCAAGCGGAUUAAACUGGGCUAAAAGACUAAUUUAUGUUUAGAAGACUGAUUGAUCUUUCUACUUUCUUUGUAGAAGACCAUACUCAGAAGUCAUUAUCACAGUAAGAGAUCAAACAUGUGACCAAAGAAUGUAGGGAACAAAAUAUAUUUGAGGAUAUAUAUAAAUUAUGAUGAAAAUAAUUAAAGAUUAUAUUACAUUUCAGGAUUUUGUAGUAUUUAACUUCAAGUUUUAUCUGUUGUGAUUUCUAUUAUCUUGCUGAGUAAACCUAAACUUUUGUACCUAAUUAUCUAUUAGUAACUUGGUACUUUUCGUUUCAAGUAGUUUCUCCAAUUAUUUUUUUUAAAAUAUUUAUUCUUUAGUUGUAGUUGGACACAAUGCCUUUAUUUUGUUUUUUAUUUUUAUGUGGUACUGAGGAUCAAACCAGGGCUUGCAUGUGCUAGGCAAGCACUCAACCACUGAGCCACAACCCCAGCCCUGGUCUCCACGAUUAUUAAAGCUUAACUUCCUACAAAAGUUGGACCUGACUCUGUUGCGUGUUUUUUUUUGUUUUGUUUUGUUUUGUUUUUGUUUAGUUACUUCUGGGAUGUGUCAUUGCAACAGAGAAAUGGAGUUGUUUCUUUGAAGGCAAACUCUCUCUUCUCCUUGUCUUGGGUGCUCUGCAGUCUCACUCUACAUGACUUAGUGGGAAUAGUGAUAUUCUAAGCACUUUCAUAAGUGCCUCCUCCAACAAGAAAAUUUCUCUAGAGUUUAUAACUAAGAGUGGAAUUGCAAGGUCAUCGCCAUGUCCAGGCAUCUUCAUUAAGCAAAGCUGGUCUCCAAAGGGACUCUACUAAUUUAUACGAAUACCAGCAGAAUAUGAGAGAUUGCCUUGCCCUCAUCGUGUUAAUGCAUGUUAGUAUCAGACUUCAAUUUUCACCAAUUUUGUGAGUAUGUUGUAAAAUGAAUUUGUAUUUUCCUGUUUGCUAAUGAGAUUCAGAGAUAUUUUGUACACCUAUUGGCCAUUUGCUUUCAUUUCUAUAAAAUUAUCAUAUACUUCUUUUGAGCAUUUUAAAAAUACAAUUUGUCUUUUUCUAAUUGAUUCAUAAAUUCUUUUAA